rnacentral:rRNA from 1 species
ACAUGCAAGUCGAGCGGAAAUUUUAUUGGUGCUUGCACCUUUAAAAUUUUAGCGGCGGACGGGUGAGUAACACGUGGGUAACCUACCUUAUAGAUUGGGAUAACUCCGGGAAACCGGGGCUAAUACCGAAUAAUACUUUUUAACACAUGUUUGAAAGUUGAAAGACGGUUUCGGCUGUCACUAUAAGAUGGACCCGCGGCGCAUUAGCUAGUUGGUGAGGUAACGGCUCACCAAGGCAACGAUGCGUAGCCGACCUGAGAGGGUGAUCGGCCACACUGGGACUGANACACGGCCCANACUCCUACGGGAGGCANCAGUAGGGAAUCUUCC